AGCGAACGUUUGCGGCGGGCUUAACACAUGCAAGUCGAACGAGAAUCCCUUCGGGGAGGAAAGUGGCGCACGGGUGCGUAACACGUGGAUAACCAACCCAUUGGUUUGGGACAACACCGGGAAACUGGUGCUAAUACCAGAUGUGUCGCAGCUGUCUUCAGGCGGUUGCGAGAAAGGCCCGCAAGGGUCGCCAACGGGCGGGUCCGCGUCCCAUCAGCUAGUUGGUUAGGUAAUGGCUCACCAAGGCAAAGACGGGUAGCUGGUCUGAGAGGAUGAUCAGCCACACUGGAACUGAGACACGGUCCAGACUCCUACGGGAGGCAGCAGUGGGGAAUAUUGCGCAAUGGGCGAAAGCCUGACGCAGCCACGCCGCGUGAGCGAUGAAGGUCUUCGGAUCGUAAAGCUCUGUGGGGGGAGAAGAAGAAAGCCGGUGAAGAGCCGGCCCUGACGGUAUCCCCUUAGCAAGCACCGGCUAACUCCGUGCCAGCAGCCGCGGUAAAGUCUGU
rnacentral:rRNA from 1 species